rnacentral:rRNA from 1 species
GUCUUAUUGAAUAAUAUAUAAUAAGUCAAUUUCUGCCCAUUGAAAUUAAUUUUAAAAGGCUGCGGUAUAUUAACUGUACAAAGGUAGCAAAAUAAAUAGUUUUUUAAUUGAAAACUUGAAUGAAAGAGUUGAUAAAAUAUAAAUUGUUUCAAAUUAAUUAAAUUUAAUUUAAAUUAAAAGUUAAAAUGCUUUUAUUAUUUUAUUAGACGAUAAGACCCUAAGAAUUUAAUUAUUUAAAUUUUAAUAUAAUUUUUAUGAAAAAUUUAUUAAAUAUAAAUUUAAUUUUGUUGGGAGGAUAAUAAAAUUUUUAUAAACUUUUAUUUAUAAAAAAUAUUUAUAAAUAAAAUUUUAAUGAUUAUUAUUAAGAUUAUUAGAAAAAAUUACCUUAGGGAUAACAGCGUAAUAAUUUUGGAGAGUUCAUAUUGAUAAAAUUGUUUGC